UACGUAGGGGGCUAGCGUUGUCCGGAAUCAUUGGGCGUAAAGCGCGUGUAGGCGGUCCGGUAAGUCCGCUGUGAAAGUCGAGGGCUCAACCCUCGAAUGCCGGUGGAUACUGUCGGGCUAGAGUACGGAAGAGGCGAGUGGAAUUCCUGGUGUAGCGGUGAAAUGCGCAGAUAUCGGGAGGAACACCUAUGGCGAAGGCAGCUCGCUGGGACGUUACUGACGCUGAGACGCGAAAGCGUGGGGAGCAAACAGG
rnacentral:rRNA from 1 species